rnacentral:rRNA from 1 species
GACGAACGCUGGCGGCGUGCUUAACACAUGCAAGUCGAGCGGAAAGGCCCUGCUUUUGUGGGGUGCUCGAGUGGCGAACGGGUGAGUAACACGUGAGCAACCUGCCCUUGACUUUGGGAUAACUUCAGGAAACUGGGGCUAAUACCGGAUAGGAGCUCCUGCUGCAUGGUGGGGGUUGGAAAGUUUCGGCGGUUGGGGAUGGACUCGCGGCUUAUCAGCUUGUUGGUGGGGUAGUGGCUUACCAAGGCUUUGACGGGUAGCCGGCCUGAGAGGGUGACCGGCCACAUUGGGACUGAGAUACGGCCCAGACUCCUACGGGAGGCAGCAGUGGGGAAUAUUGCACAAUGGGCGGAAGCCUGAUGCAGCAACGCCGCGUGCGGGAUGACGGCCUUCGGGUUGUAAACCGCUUUCGCCUGUGACGAAGCGUGAGUGACGGUAAUGGGUAAAGAAGCACCGGCUAACUACGUG